rnacentral:rRNA from 1 species
AAGGUUAAGCCUCACGGUUCAUUAGUACCGGUUAGCUCAACGCAUCGCUGCGCUUACACACCCGGCCUAUCAACGUCGUCGUCUUCAACGUUCCUUCAGGACUCUCAAGGAGUCAGGGAGAACUCAUCUCGGGGCAAGUUUCGUGCUUAGAUGCUUUCAGCACUUAUCUCUUCCGCAUUUAGCUACCGGGCAGUGCCAUUGGCAUGACAACCCGAACACCAGUGAUGCGUCCACUCCGGUCCUCUCGUACUAGGAGCAGCCCCCCUCAGUUCUCCAGCGCCCACGGCAGAUAGGGACCGAACUGUCUCACGACGUUCUAAACCCAGCUCGCGUACCACUUUAAAUGGCGAACAGCCAUACCCUUGGGACCUACUUCAGCCCCAGGAUGUGAUGAGCCGACAUCGAGGUGCCAAACACCGCCGUCGAUAUGAACUCUUGGGCGGUAUCAGCCUGUUAUCCCCGGAGUACCUUUUAUCCGUUGAGCGAUGGCCCUUCCAUUCAGAACCACCGGAUCACUAUGACCUGCUUUCGCACCUGCUCGCGCCGUCACGCUCGCAGUCAAGCUGGCUUAUGCCAUUGCACUAACCUCCUGAUGUCCGACCAGGAUUAGCCAACCUUCGUGCUCCUCCGUUACUCUUUAGGAGGAGACCGCCCCAGUCAAACUACCCACCAGACACUGUCCGCAACCCGGAUCACGGGUCAACGUUAGAACAUCAAACAUUAAAGGGUGGUAUUUCAAGGUCGGCUCCAUGCAGACUGGCGUCCACACUUCCAAGCCUCCCACCUAUCCUACACAUCAAGGCUCAAUGUUCAGUGUCAAGCUAUAGUAAAGGUUCACGGGGUCUUUCCGUCUUGCCGCGGGUACACUGCAUCUUCACAGCGAGUUCAAUUUCACUGAGUCUCGGGUGGAGACAGCCUGGCCAUCAUUACGCCAUUCGUGCAGGUCGGAACUUACCCGACAAGGAAUUUCGCUACCUUAGGACCGUUAUAGUUACGGCCGCCGUUUACCGGGGCUUCGAUCAAGAGCUUCGCUUGCGCUAACCCCAUCAAUUAACCUUCCGGCACCGGGCAGGCGUCACACCGUAUACGUCCACUUUCGUGUUUGCACAGUGCUGUGUUUUUAAUAAACAGUUGCAGCCAGCUGGUAUCUUCGACUGAUUUCAGCUCCAUCCGCGAGGGACUUCACCUACGUAUCAGCGUGCCUUCUCCCGAAGUUACGGCACCAUUUUGCCUAGUUCCUUCACCCGAGUUCUCUCAAGCGCCUUGGUAUUCUCUACCUGACCACCUGUGUCGGUUUGGGGUACGAUUUGAUGUUACCUGAUGCUUAGAGGCUUUUCCUGGAAGCAGGGCAUUUGUUGCUUCAGCACCGUAGUGCCUCGUCAUCACGCCUCAGCCUUGAUUUUCCGGAUUUGCCUGGAAAACCAGCCUACACGCUUAAACCGGGACAACCGUCGCCCGGCCAACAUAGCCUUCUCCGUCCCCCCUUCGCAGUAACACCAAGUACAGGAAUAUUAACCUGUUUCCCAUCGACUACGCCUUUCGGCCUCGCCUUAGGGGUCGACUCACCCUGCCCCGAUUAACGUUGGACAGGAACCCUUGGUCUUCCGGCGAGCGGGCUUUUCACCCGCUUUAUCGUUACUUAUGUCAGCAUUCGCACUUCUGAUACCUCCAGCAUGCCUCACAGCACACCUUCGCAGGCUUACAGAACGCUCCCCUACCCAACAACACAUAGUGUCGCUGCCGCAGCUUCGGUGCAUGGUUUAGCCUCGUUACAUCUUCCGCGCAGGCCGACUCGACCAGUGAGCUAUUACGCUUUCUUUAAAUGAUGGCUGCUUCUAAGCCAACAUCCUGGCUGUCUGGGCCUUCCCACAUCGUUUCCCACUUAACCAUGACUUUGGGACCUUAGCUGGCGGUCUGGGUUGUUUCCCUCUUCACGACGGACGUUAGCACCCGCCGUGUGUCUCCCGUGAUAACAUUCUCCGGUAUUCGCAGUUUGCAUCGGGUUGGUAAGUCGGGAUGACCCCCUUGCCGAAACAGUGCUCUACCCCCGGAGAUGAAUUCACGAGGCGCUACCUAAAUAGCUUUCGGGGAGAACCAGCUAUCUCCCGGUUUGAUUGGCCUUUCACCCCCAGCCACAAGUCAUCCGCUAAUUUUUCAACAUUAGUCGGUUCGGUCCUCCAGUUAGUGUUACCCAACCUUCAACCUGCCCAUGGCUAGAUCACCGGGUUUCGGGUCUAUACCCUGCAACUUAACGCCCAGUUAAGACUCGGUUUCCCUUCGGCUCCCCUAUUCGGUUAACCUUGCUACAGAAUAUAAGUCGCUGACCCAUUAUACAAAAGGUACGCAGUCACACGCCUAAGCGUGCUCCCACUGCUUGUACGUACACGGUUUCAGGUUCUUUUUCACUCCCCUCGCCGGGGUUCUUUUCGCCUUUCCCUCACGGUACUGGUUCACUAUCGGUCAGUCAGGAGUAUUUAGCCUUGGAGGAUGGUCCCCCCAUAUUCAGACAGGAUACCACGUGUCCCGCCCUACUCAUCGAGCUCACAAUAUGUGCAUUUUUGUGUACGGGGCUGUCACCCUGUAUCGCGCGCCUUUCCAGACGCUUCCACUAACACACACACUGAUUCAGGCUCUGGGCUCCUCCCCGUUCGCUCGCCGCUACUGGGGGAAUCUCGGUUGAUUUCUUUUCCUCGGGGUACUUAGAUGUUUCAGUUCCCCCGGUUCGCCUCAUUAACCUAUGGAUUCAGUUAAUGAUAGUGUGUCGAAACACACUGGGUUUCCCCAUUCGGAAAUCGCCGGUUAUAACGGUUCAUAUCACCUUACCGACGCUUAUCGCAGAUUAGCACGUCCUUCAUCGCCUCUGACUGCCAGGGCAUCCACCGUGUACGCUUAGUCGCUUAA